rfam:Triticum urartu cultivar G1812 contig745025, whole genome shotgun sequence.
CUUGUACUCCCUCCGUCCGAAAAAGCUUGUCCCAAGCUUGUCCCUCAAUUGGAUGUAUCUAGCACCAAGUUAGUGCUAGAUACAUCCAUUUGAGGGACAAGCUUUUUUGGACAGAGAGAGUACCUA